UCAAACUUGGUCAUUUAGAGGAAGUAAAAGUCGUAACAAGGUUUCCGUAGGUGAACCUGCGGAAGGAUCAUUACCAAAAAAUAGUUCUUUCAAUAUGAGAAAGAUCUUUUCCUUUGUGCUGGCUUUGACCGUUUGUAAUUUUGGGACUUAAAUAAGAUUCUUUAAGGAUCAGUCCCCAAAACACUAUUAUACCAACCUUGACUGAACAAAUGAAUUUUGAUUUAAAAAACAACUUUCAACAACGGAUCUCUUGGUUCUCGCAUCGAUGAAGAACGCAGC
rnacentral:misc_RNA from 1 species